rnacentral:rRNA from 1 species
CCUACGGGAGGCUGCAGUGGGGAAUAUUGCGCAAUGGGCGAAAGCCUGACGCAGCAACGCCGCGUGCGGGAUGACGGCCUUCGGGUUGUAAACCGCUUUCAGCAGGGACGAAGGGUUUCUGACGGUACCUGCAGAAGAAGCACCGGCUAACUACGUGCCAGCAGCCGCGGUGAUACGUAGGGUGCGAGCGUUGUCCGGAAUUAUUGGGCGUAAAGAGCUUGUAGGCGGUCCGUUGCGUCGGAAGUGAAAACUCGGGGCUUAACCCCGGGCGGACUUGAGGGAUGUAGGGGAGAACGGAAUUCCUGGUGGAGCGGUGGAAUGCGCAGAUAUCAGGAGGAACACCAGUGGCGAAGGCGGUUCUCUGGACAUUUCCUGACGCUGAGAAGCGAAAGCGUGGGGAGCAAACAGGCUUAGAUACCCUGGUAGUC